AUGCCGUGGUGUGGACAUGCUGCAAUGUAUUCCUGUAGUUGUUCCCAUGCUUCCAGGAUUGUCUCAUCCUCGAGUUGUUGAAAACUAGAAAUCCUAUUCCGUAGGGCAU